rnacentral:tRNA from 1 species
UCUAAUGUGGCAGAUUAGUGCAAUGGAUUUAAGCCCCAUACAUAAAUUUUUAUUUCUUUAGAA